CAACUUUAAAAAGGGUCAAACAGCUAGUUUGGUUCAAAAACCAUACUUCGUUGCAUACUUGCAUUGGCAGAUUGCAUUUAUUUUCCGCACAGGGGGGUUGAGGACAUCUUUUUACCAGCUAAAUUGUGACCCCCUGGAAUUCAGUUUAUAUACCCCCUCCCUGGAAUUUCCUGGGAAUUCAUUGCUAGACACCCCUGGAAAAUGGCUUUAAUUGCAGACCAUCCCCUGGAUUUUGGCCUCUAAUCACCCCACCCCCUGGAUUUCUGCAGUCUUUUUCACCCUCCCCCUGGAUUUUCCAAGGCCUUUUUUACUCCCCUCCCCUGGAUUUUCCAUUGUCCUCAACCCCCCUUGUGCGGAAAAUAAAUGCAAUCUGCCAUUAUCUGCCACUCUGGCAGGGCCUUCCCGACUUCAUUUCAAUCUUUCCAUCACACCGCGCGCGCUCACUUUUAUUCAGGAAACUUCAUGUAAGUUAUUUGUAAAUAUAUAAUUAAAUCUUACGGUUUCAUACAGCAAGAAAUGCUGUCUAUAUAUUGCUUUCUUGUUGGUUUCAUUAAUAAAAAAUGUGUUAAAUAAACAUUUUUUAAGAUUGGAGAUUUGACUGGAC